rnacentral:rRNA from 1 species
AUUGAACGCUGGCGGCAUGCCUUACACAUGCAAGUCGAACGGCAGCACGGGGGCAACCCUGGUGGCGAGUGGCGAUCGGGUGAGUAACACAUCGGAACGUGUCCUGUUGUGGGGGAUAACCCACCGAAAGGUGAGCUAAUACCGCAUAACCUCGGAAGAGAAAAGCAGGGGACUCGAAAGGGCCUUGCGCGAUUGGAGCGGCCGAUGUCCGAUUAGCUAGUUGGUGGGGUAAAGGCCUACCAAGGCGACGAUCGGUAGCUGGUCUGAGAGGAUGAACAGGCACACGGGGACUGGGACACGGCCCAGACGCCUACGGGAGGCAGCAGUGGGGAAUUUUGCGCAAUGGGCGGAAGCCUGACGCAGCAACGCCGCGUGGGGGAGGACGGCCUUCGGGUUGUAAACCUCUGUCGGUUCUGACGAAGCUCUGCGUGUUCGUGGGGUGACGGUAGGGGCAGAAGAAGCACCGGCUAACUACGUGCCAGCAGCCGCGGUAAUAC